rnacentral:rRNA from 1 species
UACGAAGGGGGCUAGCGUUGCUCGGAAUCACUGGGCGUAAAGGGUGCGUAGGCGGGUUUUUAAGUCAGGGGUGAAAUCCUGGAGCUCAACUCCAGAACUGCCUUUGAUACUGAGGAUCUUGAGUUCGGGAGAGGUGAGUGGAACUGCGAGUGUAGAGGUGAAAUUCGUAGAUAUUCGCAAGAACACCAGUGGCGAAGGCGGCUCACUGGCCCGAUACUGACGCUGAGGCACGAAAGCCAGGGGAGCGAACGGG